CAGUGCACAAGAGAACACGAGUGCAAAGACUCAUCGGACACCUGCUAUGUGCGGGACUCAGCUGAAUCCAUGAACUCCAUGACAGCAGGUUUUGAGAAUUUGACAAAGGGAGAAUCACAUAGGAGUGGAGUAGAAAAGAGGAAAGGCUUCCUGGAAGAGAGAGGAUGGAGAUGGGUCCUGCAGAAGCCAUCAGCCCUGGAUGGGCAACCAAUGGCCUGUGAGGCUCUCCCGACAGUGACCAGUGUUCUGGCACAGCUUGGGGGAAGAGUGCUCCAAUUUUGUGACAGCACAGAGUGUGCCAAAAAUCACAUGAGAACAAUCUUUUGA
rnacentral:lncRNA from 12 species